AAAAACACUACUGUUGUACUGUAGGUAAAUACUAUUGUAGUGCUGUAGUACUGAAGUUAAUACUACUGUAGUACUGUAGGUAAAUACUGCUGUAGUGCUGUAGUACUGUAGGUAAUACUACUGUAGUACUGUAGGUAAAGCUACUGUAGUACUGUUGGUAAAUACUACUGUAGUACUGUAGGUAAUACUACUGUAGUACUGUAGGUAAAACUACUGUAGUACUGUAGGUAAAACUACUGUAGUACUGUUGGUAAAUACUACUGUAGUACUGUAGUACUAUAGGUAAUACUACUGUAGUAUUGUAGUACUGUAGAUGUCUAGAGGGACAAAACCUGCUUAAAUAGGAUCAAUAAUCAAUAUAAAAAAGUACAAAAAAAGAUCAAUCAUAAAUGUAAGAUAUUAACAAUAAAGUUCAAUAAUCAAUGCAAAA